UACGUAGGGGGCAAGCGUUGUCCGGAAUCAUUGGGCGUAAAGAGCGCGUAGGCGGUCCGGUAAGUCGGUUGUGAAAACUGGGGGCUCAACCCUCAGAGGCCGACCGAUACUGCCGGGCUAGAGUCCGGAAGAGGCGAGUGGAAUUCCUGGUGUAGCGGUGGAAUGCGCAGAUAUCAGGAAGAACACCGGUGGCGAAGGCGGCUCACUGGCUCAUUACUGACGCUCAGGCGCGAUAGCGUGGGGAUCAAACAGG
rnacentral:rRNA from 1 species